rnacentral:lncRNA from 1 species
CAGGGGCUCCGUAAGGUAACGACCAUGUCCACAUCUCAGUGAGCAUCCAGUAAGUGAUAAUGAUCGUGCAGAUCUGUGAGGAUCCAUAAACCUCCAAAUGAAAUGGGAUAUGCCCCAGUGUGGCACCAGAGGUAUGAUAGGUCAAAAAUCAGGUGACACCAAAUCAAUCAUCAUCAAACUCACGAUCCUGGUAAUCCGAACACAACUGAAUCA